GACGAACGCUGGCGGCGUGCUUAACACAUGCAAGUCGUACGAUGACCCGGCUCUUCGGCGCUGGUGAUUAGUGGCGAACGGGUGAGUAACACGUGGGUGACCUGCCCUGCACUCUGGGAUAAGCCCGGGAAACUGGGUCUAAUACUGGAUACGACCAGUGGCCGCAUGGUCUGCUGGUGGAAAGCCCUUCGGGGUGGUGUGGGAUGGGCCCGCGGCCUAUCAGCUUGUUGGUGGGGUGAUGGCCUACCAAGGCGACGACGGGUAGCCGGCCUGAGAGGGUGUCCGGCCACACUGGGACUGAGACACGGCCCAGACUCCUACGGGAGGCAGCAGUGGGGAAUCUUGCACAAUGGGCGAAAGCCUGAUGCAGCGACGCCGCGUGAGGGAUGACGGCCUUCGGGUUGUAAACCUCUUUCGGCAGGGAACAAGCCUGGGGGGUUUCUUCUGGGUGAGGGUACCUGCGGAAGAAGCACCGGCUAACUACGUG
rnacentral:rRNA from 1 species